rnacentral:rRNA from 1 species
UACGGAGGGGGCAAGCGUUAUCCGGAUUUACUGGGUGUAAAGGGAGCGUAGGCGGCUUAGUAAGUCAGAAGUGAAAGCCCGCAGCUCAACUGCGGGACUGCUUUUGAAACUGUGUGACUGGAGUGCAGGAGAGGUAAGCGGAAUUCCUGGUGUAGCGGUGAAAUGCAUAGAUAUCACGCAGAACCCCGAUUGCGAAGGCAGCAUACCGGCGCCCAACUGACGCUGAAGCACGAAAGCGUGGGGAGCAAACAGG